ensembl:lncRNA
AUGGCAUGUUUCAUGAAAUCAACCACGUCUGCUCUCCCACGCGUCUAUUUUUAAGAUCCCGUCUGACCCUGACUCAGCUGAGUGAAUCACGCUGGAUGCCUUUGAUGACACACCAACCCACAGAAGUGGGGGGAGGCACGAGACACAAUGGUGACGGUCGGCUGUGUUUACACCGAUGGAGCUCCCCACCACCCGACACACACAGCGCUCCGGCUCACAGGAAACGCGGGCACGCCGGCGUGAGUGCGAUAUAUUCACAAUUCAAGCCACGCUGACUUUUCUAACACACAUGCCCAUGCGUCUUCCACAUCUGAAACUGCCCGCUUAACUCCCUGGCAGAUUGGCCCUGAGCUAACAUCUGUGUGCGUCUUCCUCUACUUAUAUGUGGGAUGCCUGCCACAACAUGGCUUGCGGUGCAUACAUCCACACCCAGGAUCCGAACCAGUGAACCAUGGGCCACCAAAGUAGAGCAUGCAAACUUAACCGCUGCGCCACUGGGCCGGCCCCAGGUGUUGAUACUUUUAAAAAGCUCCUCCUGGGAGGCUGAUGGGCAUCCAGGUUUGAGAUUCUCCUCUCUCAGAGGUCAAGAGCAGAAUGUCUGAUCCAACUCCCUCGUGUUCAGCCCAUCUUUGUCCUUUACCAGCUGUGUGACCUUGGGCAAGUCACUCAACCUUUCUGUGCUUCACUUUUCUCAACUUUAAGAUAGAGACAAUAAUUGUACCUAACACAUAAGGCUGUUAUGAGGGUUAAGUGAAAUAAUGCAUAAGUAUUUAAUAAGUGUUGUCUAUCACUGUGUUCAUAUUUAAUGAAGCUGUGGACAGCUCUUGAGAGUCACCAGGAAAUUCUUUCCAUGUGUAGUCAGAAGCUGCCAGGUAUGUCUGUGGGACAGAACAGAGCCCCUCUACUCCUGAGCAACAAAGGUAGCUACGUGCCCCCUGAUUUGGGUCCCUUCUUCCUCUGCCGACACACUACAGUUCUGACCUCUAAAGUCUUGUAGAAAUCAUUAACAAUUUACGCCUUGCGGCCGCUGCUUUACUAUCUAAACGAUAGGUCAAGAGCAAGACCCUCUGAGAACGCAGCUCCAGCCAACUGAAACGGACGGCAACUGAGCUUUGCAGAGGCCACGCUCACCUCACAUUUAUUUACCUGGCAGGCAGCAGAAUGAACCCGUUUCGCUUUAUGUGCAAAACUUUCCUCCCAGGCCCGUUUCCUGGUGCCCCCGGUGACAUACCGCGGAAUGAAAUGAAAGUAUCCAGAACAGUAAUUUAUUCCUGAAAUACAUCUUGCAAGAGCUACAGAUAGCUACCACGUCGACCUCUCUCCGCCCGAACCUGAGCUGUCACCCACGGUCAAUCACUUUCUAAAUCAGAGGUGAACUUCAGACCAUAAAAUGCCAUUCGUAGCCACAUCACUCCACUCUGAGAUGUGCGUUACUCUCUUGGCCCGAACUCCUAGCGAGUGUUACGCUAAUAGAUUGCUGGAGCCGCAGCUCGCUGUGCUGAUGUGUGGGAGCAAUACGUUAGGAAGGGCCCCACUCGCUCCGAUGAUGGAUCGUCCGGGUGGACUCAUGCCGGUGACGUAUGGCCUUACCAAGGGCACCAACUGGGAGAGAACAAGUUCACAGUGGGUUUGGUUUAGCUCAUAGAGGCAAAGAGAGACGCAAUUUGGAUUCCACCAGGCCUGCUCCCACCGGCUCACGAGGCCCCCACGUUUGCAGGAGAGCGAGAAGCUGUACACACAGGGCGACUUCUGAACCACCUCUGCCUUAGGAUGGACACAGGAUUUGUGCAUUUUAUGUAUUUGUUAUGCUUCAAUUAAAAAGUUCAUCUGGAGAAAACUGAGCAUGCUGAGGGCAGAUAAAAAAUAAGAAGACGUUUGCAACAUGAAUGCCUUGAAGUUUGUGAUUCUAUGACGGCCUGCAGAAUGACAACAAGACAACUAUCCAGAGGGGCAAAGAAAGGAAAGGGCCUCCCACAGGAAGCUGGUGUAGUCCUGCCCACCUAGUCUUCGAAAUAAGAAAAAAAAUGCUUGCUGACUCAUUAUAGACUCAGAGGAAACCAGGGAGGACAUGAGUCUGGGAGUGGCAUCUACACUUUCAGACUCCCAUUUUCAACUUCCUCCUGGAUAUCACACCUUGGAGGUGCCAAGAUCCCUCAAAACAACAGAUCUAAAAUAAAGCUACGUCUCCUGUUAUGGGUUGAAUUGUGUGCCCCCAAAUCCCUGUGUUGAAGCCCUGACCUCCAGGACCUCAGAAUGUGACCUUAUUUGGAGAUGGGGUCUUUACAGCAGUAAUCAAGUUAAAAAGAAGUCUUAAGGCAGGCCCUAAUCCAAUAUGGCUGGUGUCCGUAUAACAUGGAGAAACCUGGGGAGAGACACACAGAGGGGAGAUGAUAUGAAGAGACCGGGAGAAGACAGCCGUCCACAAGCCAAGGAGAGAAGCAUGGCACAGAGCCUUCCUCCACAGCACUCAGAAGGAAUGGACCCUGCUGACACCUUGAUCUUGGACUUCCAGCCCCCAGAACUGUGGGACAAUAAAUUU